AGAAUGAACGCUGGCGGCGUGCUUAACACAUGCAAGUCGAACGGAAUACAAGGAGCUUGCUCCGAACUAUUUAGUGGCGAACGGGUGAGUAUCACGUGAGCAACCUGCCCCGAAGACUGGGAUAACACCGGGAAACCGGUGCUAAUACCGGAUGUCUUUCAAUGAUCGCAUGAUCGAUGAAAGAAAUGUUUUUUCGCUUUGGGAGGGGCUCGCGGUCCAUCAGCUUGUUGGCGGGUAACGGCCCACCAAGGCUACGACGGAUAGCUGGUCUGAGAGGACGAUCAGCCACACUGGAACUGAGACACGGUCCAGACUCCUACGGGAGGCAGCAGUGGGGAAUCUUGCGCAAUGGACGAAAGUCUGACGCAGCAACGCCGCGUGAGGGACGAAGGCUUUCUGAGUUGUAAACCUUCUUUCGACAGGAACGAUUGUGACGGUACCUGUAGAAGAAGCACCGGCAACUAUGUGCCAGCAGCCGCGGUAA
rnacentral:rRNA from 1 species